UGAAAAUGAAGCCACAUAGUAAAUUUUGCCUUGAUCGUGCAUCAUACUCAAACAUCAAGCAUUUCCAAGGCGUAGAUGGUUCAACAGGAAGGAGAGCAUGGUAGAAAUGUUUGAUGAGGUUAUGAGAGAAAGUUGAAACCUGACAAACUAAAGCAACAAUGUCUCUAGCAGAUAUGAUUUGUUUGAUCAUCCAAGAUGCCUUAGGAACCUCAUUGAAAAGUCUGUCUUUUAUAUAGCAUGUAUGAACCCAUCUCACCCAUUUGUCCGCUUUAUUGUCUACAUCUUGCAAUAACAAUUUUGUUCCAGAAUCUCUAGUUAAUCAGAUUUAGUCCUCCUGUGGCAAUAGGUGAGCAAACCUUAUCCCAUGCUACUAAUGCCUUUUUAGUGAUUGUGUUUGCCCCAUACCACAUAUAACUCUGACAAUACGCAUCAAUCACUUUGACAACUUUAGUAGGAAUUGUAAAGAGUUGAGCCCAAUAGGCCUGCAUGCCAAACAACACGGAUUGAAUCAUUUGUUCUCGCUUAUUAUUCUAUUAUUUUCUAUUUGGACCCUUGUAAUUGAAUGAGACACAGUAGUAAUUUAUUUUUUUAAUAAAUCUCACCUUGUUUCUUUUUAUUUAUUUCUUAUAUUGAAAUUAAUUACUUUUUACUUAUUAAUUUUAGUAAAGCACGAAAGAUUUUUACAUUUUUUUAUACUUCCUCCGUCUCAUUUUACUCGUCUCAAUUUGGCAUUGCAUAUUGAUUAAGAAAAAUAAUUAAUAACAUACCUACUUUACCAUCGCAUCCCUAUUAAAUUAUGUUUACAUUUUAAUUUGGAGAAAAAAAUAAUUAAUACUAAGGGUAAAAAAGAAAAGAAAAAGUUGUCUUGUCUUGAUUAAUGAAAAAUGACAAGUAAAAUAAAAAAUUAAAUUAAGAAAUCUUAGACGAGUAAAAUGGGAUGAAGGAAGUAUCAUUUUUAUUAUUAAGUAACUGUAUAUGUCACACCCCUUUUUAACUCCAAGAAAAAUUAUUUUUAUGGGUUUCGAAAGGAUUUUAUUUAUUAAAGUGACAAAAAUGAGGAUUUAUUUCGAAAAAGAAUUAUUUAUAUUUUUUAUUCAGAGUCGUCACUUGACAUAAUCCGGUGUGCCAAGUCACCUUUGGAGAAUCCUUUUCGAAAUGAUUUGACUCUUUACAAAACUGGUUUGCGACAAAGAUUCCGGCUAAGAAAUUCUGUUGACCGAGGGGAAGGUGUUAGGCAUCCCUCGAUCCCAUGGUUCGCCCACGGUCGCUUGGUGGAGCAUAUCAGCUAAUUUGACAUUACAAAUGCAUAAUCCACACAAAAACACAUAAACAAUCAAUCAAACACGAAACAAAACAAAUCCAAAAUAUAGUGUUCAGUCCAAUUAUACAGUUCAAAAUAAAAAAUGCGAAAAAAUAAAUCCUAUUCUAACCUACACUAAUCCUAAACUAUGCUCCAGUGCUUUACCUGAUGCCUCGAUCCUUCGUCACGGGCGUCUUCCGAGUACAAAAUACCGCGGGGCAUUUCCCGGCGAAUAAACACAAAUAUCUCAGGGCAUUUUCCGCCAAAUAAUACAUUUGAUCCAAAAGCAAUAAAACCAAGCCAUUCAACACAUGUUUCGAGCAUUCAACAUUCCACAAUUCCUAAAACUUGCCAACCCGAACCUACUAUUUGCCUACCCAACUCGAUCUAUCAUGGCACUAUCACGAUCGACGACGUCAAUGAAUCAAAACAACAAAAAAAUUAAAAUUAAUCCUAAUUAAGAUUAGCAAUUUUUCAAUUCCGCUCCAAAUUCAUUCUCAACCAAUGAUUAACACAUGCAUCGAUUAUCAAUUCAUUUUUCAACAUUCAAAUCCAACAUCAACCAAUACACAAUCAAGAUUCAAACAUACCAACACAUAAAUCAUUCACGAUUACGUAAAAAUUAAAAAAAGAGGAGAUAGAAUUGGACCUCAGUGCUUUCAAAAAUCGAUGUAUUAUUUCGAUUAACCUGGUAGAAUCCGCAUCCAAAAUCCUCGAACAAAACCCUCCAUCACGAUCAAGAAUCCAACUCGGUAUCAAGAAAGUGAACCCAAAACUGAUUACGGUGAAUUGAUUGGGACGAAACAGAAUCUAAAUCCAAAAAUCAGUUCAAAGACAGAUGAGCCAAGACCAAAAUUGCAACAGAGUAAAUCGAACCCGUCAAAAUUCUCAGCAAACAAACUCACAACUUGAACAAAAAACCCCCAAAAACCCGAACUUACCCAAACAAUCCCACUGAACCUUUUCGAUUUUUAUCUUUUUCCGAUGAAAGUUGACCAGAAUAAAAUGAAACGACUCAAAGUUUUAUGGAUUAGACGGCUGACUUACUUUUCGACGAGAUUCAGAUGGAAAAUCGGGAUCGGUAUUAACUUCUUGAUGCGAGCAUGGUUGGAACGAGAUUAGCGGAGCUUUCUCGGUGGCAAUUCUAGUGAGUCACCAGCGAGAGCUUUGUCGGAAAGCAGUCCAAUUGCCUCUCUGUCUCUCUCUCAAUCUCUCUGGUUUGCUUAAAUCUCUCUUACCUUCAACGAUUUCUCACAGUUUCUCUUUUAACUCUCUAUGCCUCUCUCCAUCUCUUACUCUCACUCUCCUCUCUUCCUCUUACUGUGUGUAUUUUUUGAGUUUUCAGUGAGCUGGUGAAAAUGCUAUGCCAGUGGAAUUGGGGAUUUUGUGGUGAUCAGUGAAUAAGAAAAGGAAAAAAAUGGCGCGGUGUGUUCUAUGUUGAGAAAAAAAAGAAUCCAGUGGUGUGUAUAUUCUGUGUAUAUGGAUUGGUCAAGAAGAAAAGAAAAUCCCCUGUACCUGUGUGUUUUUGGAAAAAUGGAUAAGAAGUCCAAAGAGAAAGGAAAAAAAGGCCUCCCCUAAUCUAUUCCAGUGAAUGGAAAUUAUAUUGAUGGAAUGUGGGGUCCAUGAGUGAGGUGUCUAUUUUGAUUGGGUAAGUUAUUAGGAUGAGGUGUAAAGUUGGUUAGGAUAGAAUUAAAACAAGAUAAAAUUUGUUAAGGAUUAUGUUAAGGGUUGUUAUUAUUUUUUUGUAGGGUAUAAUUAUAUGGAUGAGGGUGUACAAUAAAGUGAGGUAAAAAUGAAUAAAAUUAGACUUGGGAGGGAUAAAAUUAGGUAUCUACGACAUGCCCCCUUUGAAUGUAAACAUGAAGUGUUUUCAAACAAAGAAGUAGACAACGAGAUAAAAUUUUGUCCCAACUAUUAUUCAAAAAGAAUGAAAUAGAAAGAAGGAGGAAAACCAAGUCUUGACUUUGGAAAUCAUACUUAUCCCUAGUUAUGGGGGAAUCAAGUCACAGGUAUCCCAAGGACUGAAAGAAGAGGGACUAUACCGAGUUGGAGAGUCGAGCGAGGUUCUGUCGAGGUUCCGAUCUGCGGCUCUGUCAUUACAUCAAAACAAAAAUUACAAGUUAAAACAUAAAUGAAAUUACAAAAGUCCUCUCUAUGCGGUUUCUUUUGGACUUUUGACUUGAGUUUUAUCACCCUAUUCUUCAGGUGGGCUCCUGACUUGCAAUUUCUUUAACUUGUUGCCUGACUUUUAAUUUCUUCAUUUUGUUAUUUGACAUUCCAUUUAUUCGCCUUGUGCUUCGGGCGGGCUCCAAUUUUGCUUGAGUUAUCAAAACAAGGAAGUGCGUCUCCUCACAAAUGCCGCUUGAAUUAUCCAAACAAGGAAGUGCGUCUCCUUACAGAUAUUGCUUGAAUUACCAAAACAAGGAAGUGCAUCUCCUUACAAAUGCCGAUUGAAUUACCUAAAUACGGAAGUGCGUCUCCUUACAAAUGCCACUUGAAUUACCGAAAUAAGAAAGUACAUCUCCUUACCAAUGUCACUUGCAUUACCUAAACAAGGAAGUGCGUCUCCUUACAAAUGCCGGAUGAAUUACCCAAAUAAGGAAGUGCGUCUCCUUACAAAUGUUGCUAGAAAUACCCAAACAGGAAAGUGUGUCUCCUUACCAAUGCCUCUUGAAUUACCAAAAUAAGAAAAUACGUCUCCUUACCAAUGCCGCUCAAAUUAACAAAACAAGGAAGUGUGUCUCCUAACAAAUAUCUCUUGAAUUACCCAAACAAGGAAAUGUGUCUCCUUACCAAUGCCGCUUGAAUUAUCCAAACAAGGAAGUGUGUCUCCUAACAAAUAUCUCUUGAAUUACUCAAACAAGAAAAUGUGUCUCCUUAUCAAUGCCGCUUGAAUUAAACAAACAAGGAAGUGUGUCUUCUCACCAAUGUUGCUUGAAUUACCCAAACAUGAAAGUGUGUCUCCUCACAAAUGUCAAUUGAAUUUCCCAAAUAAGAAAGUGUGUCUCCUCACAAAUGCUGCUUGAAUUGCCCAAACAGGAAAGUACGUCUCCUUACAAAUGUCUCUUGAAUUACCCAAACAAGGAAGUGCAUCUCCUUAUAAAUGUCGCUUGAAUUACCAAAAUAAGAAAGUGCAUCUUCUUACAAAUGUUGCUUAAAUUGUCCAAACAAGGAAGUGUGUUCCCUUACAAAUAUUGCUUGAAUCACCCAAACAAGGAAGUACGUCUCCUUACGAAUGUUGCUUGAAUUACCAAAAUAAGGAAGUGUGUCUCCUAGAGAUAUUGGAUUAUAAGUUUUACCAUGGCUUUGAAUACCAAAUCUGUGCAACAACAUUGCCUCUUGUAUUUGUAAAAGUGAGAAUAUUAUGGCCUUUGAAGUUUACGCUUUGAAAUCCUUGAUUCGAAGGUAGCAUGCGUUCCUGUUUCAUACAAAGAAAACUUGUUAGUUUAAAACAUGGUGGCUGGUUUGUGGCUUUGGCUUUUGGCAAUUGUUCUUGCCCCCGUCACAUUUAACCUUGCUUCCAACCGUUACAUAUAUCAUUGACUUAAUGCAUCAUUGAUCCAAACUCAGAUUAUUAAGAAUGACAAUGAAACAAACACCGUAUCUUUGCUUUGCCAUGCUCUUCAGAUAAACCCUUUGACCUUUGGUAUUUCCAUGAGUUCCCAGACUUGUCUGUUAACAAAACUUUCUAUAUACCUUAUUUCAGCUCACAAUCAUGUCUCUUUCAUGUGUUGGCCUUUUGUCUUGCUUUGGGCAAUUGAAGAAGCUGGUAGUCAGUUUUAAAAUCUUUUCUCACUUAUUUUGAUAUGGACUUAACUCAAAGACAGGAGAAAAAUGACAAUAAUUUUUAUUUUAUUUGGGUAAUUGAAUCAAGAAAAUAAAAAUAAAAAUAUAACUAAAGAGAAGAAAAAAAAAACAAUGAAUGUCCCCAUUGAAAAAGAUGAAAGAAAAAUUAUCUGAAAAUAAUAGUCAACUCUAAUGAUUAUGACAUGCAUUUUGAAUUAAGCUAUCUGAUCUUUCCAUCCAAACUUUCUACCAAUUGUUGUUGAGUUAAUGGACUUGAAACUAAGUUGUUUCCUUAGGUCAAUUGCAUUUAAGACCUCAUUCAGCUAGUGACACCUUGAAGGGCUUUCACCAACAAGCCUCUCUCAUUUUUUUUUCUCAGUUCACCAUUGUCUUAUGGUUUCUGUGAGGAUUUUUCACCAAUAGGACUCUCUUAUUUCCAUUUGUCUCAACUCACUGUCGUCUUACAGUGCCCGUGAGGGUUUUCACCGAUAAGACUCUCUCAUUGUUAUCUCUCUCAGCUUAUCAUCAUCUUACGGUGCCCGUGAGGAUUUUCACCGAUAAAACUCUCUCAUUUUUAUUUCUCUCCUGAUUCCUUAUGCUGAGAAAUACAAGUAUUUUCCAAAAUGAGUCAUCACAUCCUUUGCAUGCUUAGCCUUAACAUUCUCAAAGAUUGAUCUGAAGGUCUUUCUUUGGUUGUAACUUGGCUUUUGGAUAAGGUUAGAAAGAAAGGAUGACAUGAAGCCCAAACGACACUUGAAGUAGGAUGGGACUUACAACUUUUGGAAUCGACUCAAACAACGAGGAUUAACUCAUGCCCCAGUUUCUUUUGGAUAGGUGACUCUAAAUUUUUUAUUUGGUUAGACCGAUCCCAGAGUAGGGCAGCCUAUGUAUUUCACCCCCGAGAGAGGAGAAUCAGGUCACGCAUAGUUCUGGUGGUUUUUUUUGCUUAAUUCUAAUUUCUUUUCUUUUGACCUUUUUUCUUUGUGAUUUUCCUGACUCUAAUUUCCUGACACUCUUUUCUUCCUUCGUGGACACAUUUUUCUCUCUUUUUUUUUUGAAACUUUCUAACUUUAUUCUCUUACUCGAUACCUUUCUUUUGAGCUUUGCUGACUCUAUCUUGAUUUCAAAAGAGGGGUAUGAAAGAAAAUAGGACUAAAGCUCAAAUGGGGUAGACAAAGGAUGACAUAAUAUUUGGAUAACAGAAUGAAAUGCCUUCGUCAUAUCAAUCCUUGAAAAUGCCAGUACAUAACAUGCAAUUUGAAAGUUGGAGAUGAAGAUCAUGUGUGACAUCUUUUACAACAUUAACUUUGACUGAGUCUGUGCGUCGCUUCUUCUUCUGUGCUUUUCUAGCAUACAACUCCAACUUUGUUGUACAUUCCUUAUAUUGAAUGACUCAUGAUUUUGUGGAGCUGAUUUUCUUUCCGUCCCUCUUGAUAUAGGAUCACGCAUCUACUGUUUGACCUAAUUGAGGCACGCCUUACAAUUGAUGAUCGAGUUAUUCUUGUGAUUCUCAAAAUAAAUGGCCUUAAUUUUCAAAGAAGGCUUGAACUUGUCACUAAAUUUCUGAGCACUCUAUAUAUUUUCUCAGAUGCUCUCUUUUUCUAACUUUAAACCUCGGAUUCAAUGUUAAUGCUUAAACUAGAUUUUAAGAUCUGGCUGAAAAUUCCGUUAGCAUGUUAUAUCACUAGAGUCAACAUAAAAUGUACUAUGAAAAGAAAACAAAAAAAACAUAUUUAAAACACAAAGGAAAAAGGGACACUCUAUUUAAAUAAAAUGAAAGAUAGAAGGGUUUGAAUAUAAUGACAAAUGGACAAAACAAGAUAGAUCCCGAACUACAACCCUGAAAUAAUUCGGAUAACAGAAAAUAAAACAAAAUAAACUACCAGACCUCUUUCUAAAAGGGAGAGGGGUGACUUCUCAAUCGCUCAGCCUGACAUCCUAACCACUGGUUUGCAUAUUAGCAUGACUAGAACUUCCACAACGAUCAGACACAUUCCCUUCAACAAUUAAGUUUUGGGUCCUCAUGUUUAACUCAUUGCUUCCCAAAUUUCAACAUCUCAAAGAUUGGAGGAAGGUUAGCACUUGAAGGCAUGCCUCAGUCUUUGUAUGAAACAUCUUCUUUACCCGCAAGCCCUAGAGAAUUUUUCAUAGCAUUUUCUGCACUCUUUAUUUUUCCAACCAUUUUCUCUGACUCUUCUGGCAUACUGGACUUCUUGUUAAGAAAUUUUGAUAGUCCAGUUAACUUAAAAGCAGGCUCAGGAGUAUAACAAUGAUCACCAAGAAUAUUGAAUAUAGGUUCACUAGCAGCAUAGGGACGCACAACCGUUGGGCGAGCCAGUUUGGAAGUCCCAGUAGAGGAUUGAGAAACAAGAUCACAGACAACAUGCGAUGUUAUGAAUGUAGCAGGCUUAUCUGAGGAGCUAGAGAAAAAGUGGUGGGAGUAUUGAGAUGCUUUUGGCUUGGAAUGAAUUCUGAGUCAUGUUGCGGUGCAUCAACAAUAGUAGAAAACUACGUUCUGAUUUUGGUGGAAAACUCGAGGUAUUUGUAGGAUCAAUAAAGGAAAAUGGAGGAGGAGGCAACCCACUGGCCCAAACUCGAUGCAUUUCUGUCAUUUGUUGUCUUAGCCUCCUAAUCUCUUGCUUCAAACUCUCAUUUUCCUGAUUCUUUAUUUUAUCCAUGAUGUCACUCUCUAUAUCUUUGUUGGACACAACUAACAGUUUGGAUUUGGUGUGAUGUGAAGGACCAGCCAGAAUGCCACAAACCAACCACCUUAAACUGACUUAACAAAAAAAACAACAAAUGUGUUAGAGUUCAACACUUUUUCAAAACCUCUUUUUCAUUUUUUUUUUGAAAAGAUCACCGAACCCAAGAAGAGAGCCUAUGUAUAUCACUCCCGAGAUAGGAGAAUCAGGUGUGCGUUGUUCGUGAAGUCUUGCCAAAAUGGCCAACUAAACUAUUUUUCCUUUAUUUUUUUUUCUUGAAACUUUAAAAAGAAAAGGAAAUAACAAAUUGUCAAAAGAAUUGACGAAAAUCUUUUUGUAUUUUUCAAGUUUAAACUCCCUAUACAAAAUGAAACCUAUGAUUACCAAAGAAAAAUCUUUUUGAGUUUUCGAUUUUGAAUUUCAUAUGAAAAUGAAACUUGAACCUAUUAAAGGAAAAAUCUUUCUUAAAGUUUUCUUUUAAAGAUGUAUAUGAAACACCUACUCUAAUAAAGAGUGAAGAAAAUCUUUCUUUUUUUUUAAUUUUUCAAAUAAGAUCCCCGAACCAACAAUAGACUGCCUACGUAUCUCACUCCCGAGAGAGGAGAAUCAGGGGUGCAUAGUUCGUCCAGAUUGGACAAAUAAGGAUUAAAGAAUUAACUAAACCUUGACUUGAGAGACACAACUACAACGACGAAAAUAAAAUCUUUUUGGGGAUUUUCACUUUGACACUCCACAUAAAACUGACACCAACAACUAUGAAAGAAAAAAUCUUUUUGAUAUUUUCAUUACAUGAAAUGUACAAAACUUCUACUACCUUUUUUUUGAAUUUUUCUUUUAUAAAAAGCUCCUAAAAAAAUCGUUUUGAAGUUUUCGAAUUGUGAAUGCUUGCUAAAUGAAACAAAAGGAAAAUCUUUUUGAUGUUUUCAUAGGCUAGCGAGGAAGGAGGCGAAGUCAGCAGUCACGGCAGCUAAGACGGCCGCUUUUGAGAGCUUGUAUGUAGGGUUACAGGAGAAAGGAGGGGAGAAAAAGUUGUUUAGACUCGCUAAGGCUAGGGAGAGGAAGGGUCGUGACCUCGAUCAGGUGAGGUGCAUUAAGGGGAAGGACGGUAGAGUGUUGGUGGAGGACGGCCACAUUAAGAAGAGAUGGCAAUCGUAUUUUCAUAGGCUCUUGAAUGACGAAGGGGAUAGAGCUAUUGUGUGGAUUUUAGCUAUUGUAGACGUUUUAAGGUAGACGAGGUUAGACAGGCAGUCCGCAGGAUGCGAAGGGGUAGGGCGACGGGGCCGGAUGAGAUACCGGUGGAGUUUUGGAAGUUCGUUGGAGAGGCUGGUGUAAGGUGGUUGACUGCAUUGUUCAAUGAAAUUUUCAGGACGGCAAAGAUGCCCGAGGCGUGGAGGUGGAGUUCCAUGGUCCCUCUCUAUAAGAAUAAGGGGGACAUUCAGAGUUGCAAUAACUAUAGGGGGAUUAAGUUAUUGAGUCACUCUAUGAAGAUCUGGGAGAGAGUAGUCGAGGUGAGGCUGAGACGGAUAGUGUCUAUUUCGGAAAACCAGUUCGGAUUUAUGCCCGGCCGCUCGACGACGGAGGCAAUUCACCUGGUACGGAGGUUGGUGGAACAGUAUAGGGAGAGGAAGAAGGAUCUGCACAUGGUGUUCAUCGACCUGGAAAAGGCGUACGACAAAGUCCCAGGGAAGUGCUUUGGAGAUGCUUGGAGGUGAGUGGAGUACCGCAGGCAUAUAUCAGAGUAAUUAAGGAUAUGUAUGAGGGAGCGAAAACCCAGGUGAGGACGGCGGGAGGAGACUCAGAGCAUUUCACUGUCCUGACAGGAUUGCACCAGGGAUCUACUCUUAGUCCCUUUUUGUUUGCGUUAGUAAUGGAUGUGUUGACGCGGCGUAUCCAAGGGGAGGUGCCGUGGUGUAUGCUUUUUGCAGACGAUGUAGUCCUGAUAGAUGAGACUCGAGGGGGUGUGAAUGACAAAUUAGAGUUGUGGAGGCAAACUCUGGAGUCUAAAGGGUUCAGGGUGAGCAGAACCAAGACAGAGUAUGUGGAAUGUAAGUUUAAUGACGUGAGGCGGGAGAAUGAGGUAGUAGUGAGGCUAGAAGCACAGGAGGUAGGGAAGAGGGAUAAGUUCAAGUAUCUCGGGUCCGUGAUCCAGAGUAACGGUGAGAUUGACGAGGAUGUCUCGCACCGUAUUGGGGCGGGAUGGAUGAAGUGGAAACUCGCAUCGGGGGUGCUGUGUGAUAAGAAGGUGCCGCCCAAGCUUAAAGGCAAAUUCUAUAGGGUGGUAGUCCGUCCGGCCUUGCUGUAUGGAGCGGAGUGUUGGCCAGUUAAGAACUCCCACAUCCAAAAAAUGAAGGUGGCAGAAAUGCGGAUGUUGCGCUGGAUGUGUGGACUGACCCGAGGGGAUAGAGUUCGGAAUGAGACUAUCCGGGAGAAGGUUGGUGUGACUUCAGUGGAGUGUAAGAUGCGGGAAGCACGAUUGAGAUGGUUCGGACACGUGAAGAGGAGGGGCACGGAUGCCCCGGUCCGUAGGUGUGAGAGGCUAGCGUUGGAUGGUUUUAGACGGGGUAGGGGUAGACCGAAGAAGUACUGGGGUGAGGUGAUUAGGCGGGACAUGGAACAGUUACAGCUCACCGAGGACAUGACCCUAGCAUGUUUUAUUACGAAUCUGUGUGCUUUCCUCUGCUUUCCUCUGUUUUAUAUUACUUAUGGGUGCCGUAUUUAUGUUAUGUAAUCGGCUUCUAUGCUUUACUAUGUGUUUGUGUGGUAUCUCGUGCCUUGAGCCGGGGGUCUAUCGGAAACAACCUUUCUACUUCAUCAGAGGUAGAGGUAUGGACUGCAUACAUCUUACCCCCCAGACCCCACUAGGUGGGAAUACACUGGGUUUGUUGUUGUUGUUGUUGUUGUUAUUUUUGAAAAAUAAGUGCAAAAAGUAAAAAAAAGUCUUUUUUUUUUUAAUUUUUGAAUCGUGGAAAACAAAAGUCAUAAAGAACUCUAAAAACUACAAAACUCUCUUUUUUUCUUUUCGACUCACUUUUCACUUUUUUUUUAAUAUUUUUUUCUCAACAUUUCUUGCCUAUGCACUUUACUUCUAACACAUGUUUUCUCCAAAUCAGUCCAUCAAAUGACCAUGUUACCCUCCAAGAUGCAACAUUUAGCACAUAGGGAUGAUUUAGAGGUGAGUGUCCUACAAAGGACCACAUGGGUCCCGCUAGGUCUCAAUAUGAUGUGGAUAAGCAUGACCUAAAGGCUGACCUACGCUAGGGUUUACUAACAAGGUUGUUCAGGGGGGCAUAUAGUCGAUAGUGGCUGCUUUACUUUCCACCCACUCCAUACGUCCGACGGCUCCCUCUCCUAAAAUAAGGGUGACUCAACUAGAGUUUGUAUACACGACGUGCACUCCAGGACUUGUUGCAGAAAUAAUUGAGACUCAACUAGAGUUUGUAUACACGACGUGCACUCCAGGACUUGUUGCAGAAAUAAUUGACUCGGGUUAAGCACAUGAUGCCAGAUAUAAAACGGUAACAUAUAGGAGAAAAAAUGUAAACACGUAGCAUGUAAGCACUCAACAAUGAUAAAAUAAACACAAACAGUAAUACAAACAAUGUUUAUACACUCAUAAUGUCAAACUAAGCCGAUACAACUCCAAAAAUAAACUCGAAUUCUGAAAAACUCCCCAGCAGAGUCGCCAGAGCUGUUACACCCCUUUUUAACUCCAAAAAAGAUUAUUUUUAUGGGUUUCAAAAGGGUUUUAUUUAUUAAAUUGACAAAAAUGAGGAUUUGUUUCGAAAAAGGUUAAUUUAUAUUUUUUAUUCAGAGUCGCCACUUGACAUAAUCCGGUGUGCCAAGACACCUUUGGAGAAUCCUUUUCGAAAUGAUUUGACUCUUUAAAAAAUCGGUUUGUGAACAAAGAUUCCGACUAAGGAAUUCUGUUGACCGAGGGGGAUGGUGUUAGGCAUCCCUCGAUCUCAUGGUUCGACCACGGUCGCUUGGUGGAGCAUAUCAGCUAAUUUGACAUUACAAAUGUACAAACCACACAAAAACACACAAACAAUCAAUCAAACACAUGAAACAAAACAAAUCCAAAAUAUAGUGUUCAGUCCAAUUAUACAGUUCAAAAUAAAAAAUGCGAAAAAAUAAAUCCUAUUCUAACCUACACUAAUCCUGAACUAUGCUCCAGUGCUUUACCCGAUGCCUCGGGCCUUCAUCACGGGCGUCCUUCGAGUACAAAAUACUGUGGGUUAUUCCCCAACAAAUAAACAAAAAUACCUCGGGGCAUUUUCCGGCCAAAUAAUACAUUUGAUCCAAAAGCAAUAAAAUCAAGCCAUUCAACACAUGUUUCGAGCAUUCAACAUUCCACAAUUCCUAAAAUUUGCCAACCCGAACCUACUAUUUGCCUACCCAACUCGACCUAUCAUGGAACUAUCACGAUCGACGACGUCAAUGAAUCAAAACAACAAAAAAAUUAAAAUUAAUCCUAAUUCACUUUAGCAAUUUUUCAAUUCCGCACCAAAUUCAUUCUCAACCAAUGAUUAACACAUGCAUCGAUUAUCAAUUCAUUUUUCAACAUUCAAAUCCAACAUCAACCAAUACACAAUCAAGAUUCAAACAUAACAACACAUAAAUCAUUCACGAUUACGUAAAAAUUAAAAAAAGAAAAGAUAGAAUUAGACCUCAGUGCUUUCAAAAAUCAAUGUAUUAUUUCGAUCAACCCGGUAGAAUCCGCGUCCGAAAUCCUCGAACAAAACCCCCAAUCACGAUCAAGAAUCCAACUCGGUAUCAAGAAAGUGAAGCCCAAAAUUGAUUACGGUGAAUUGAUCAGGACGAAACAAAAUCUAAAUCCCAAAAUCAGUUCGAAGACAGAUGAGCUAAGACCAAAAUUGCAACAGACUAAAUCGAACCCGUUAAAAUUCUCAGCAAACGAACUCACAACUUGAACAAAAAAAAACCCCAAAACCCGAACUAACCCGAACAAUCCCACUAAACCAUUUCAAUUUUUAUCAUUUUUCGACGAAAAUUGGUCAGAAUAAACUGAAACGGCUCAAAUUUUUAUGGAUUAGAUGGAUGACUUACCUUUCGACGAGAUUCGGACGAAAAACCGGGAUCGGGACUGACUUCUUGAUGUGAGUAUGGUUGGAACGAGAUUAGCGGAGCUUUCUCGGUGGCGAUUCUAGUGAGUCACCGGCGAGAACUUCGCCGGAAGGCAGUCCAACGGCCUCUAUGUCUCUCUCUCGAUCUCUCUGGCUCGCUCAAAUCUCUCUUACCUUCAACGAUUUCUCACUGUUUCUCUUUUAACUCUCUAUGCCUCUCUCCAUCUCUCACUCUCACUCUCCUCUCUUCUCCUUACCGUGUGUAUUUUCUGAGUUUUCAGUGAGCUGGUGAAAAUGCUAUGCCAGUGUAAUUGGGGAUUUUGUGGUGAUUAGUGAAUAAGAAAAGGAAAAAAAAUGUGCGAUGUGUUCUAUGUUGAGAAAAAAAAGAAUCCUGUGGUGCGUAUGUUCUGUGUAUAUGGAUUGGUCAAGAAGAAAAGAAAAUCUCCUGUACCUAUGUGUUUUUGGAAAAAUGGAAAAGAAGACCAAAGAGAAAGGAAAAAAAGGUCUCCCCUAAUCUAUUCCAGUGAAUGGAAAUUAUAUCGAUGGAAUGUGGGGUCCAUGAGUGAGGUGUCUAUUUUGAUUGAGUAGGUUAUUAGGAUAAGGUGUAAAGUUGGUUAGAAUAGAAAUAAAACAAGAUAAAGUAUGUUAGGGAUUAUGUUAAGGGUUGUUAUUUUUUUUUUUUUUGUGAGGUAUAAUUACAUGGAUAAGGGUGUACAAUAAAGUGAGG
rnacentral:lncRNA from 1 species